rnacentral:rRNA from 1 species
CCUACGGGAGGCAGCAGUAGGGAAUCUUCCACAAUGGACGAAAGUCUGAUGGAGCAACGCCGCGUGAGUGAAGAAGGGUUUCGGCUCGUAAAGGUCUGUUUGUAGUGAAGAAAGAUAGAGGUAGUAACUGGCCUUUAUUUGACGGUAAUUACUUAGAAAGUCACGGCUAACUACGUUCCAGCAGCCGCGGUAAUACGUAGGGGGCCAGCGUUUUCCGGAUUUUUUGGGCGUAAAGCGAGU